ACUCCUACGGGAGGCAGCAGUAGGGAAUCUUCCACAAUGGGCGCAAGCCUGAUGGAGCAACACCGCGUGAGUGAAGAAGGGUUUCGGCUCGUAAAGCUCUGUUGUUAAAGAAGAACACGUAUGAGAGUAACUGUUCAUACGUUGACGGUAUUUAACCAGAAAGUCACGGCUAACUACGUGCCAGCAGCCGCGGUAAUACGUAGGUGGCAAGCGUUAUCCGGAUUUAUUGGGCGUAAAGAGAGUGCAGGCGGUUUUCUAAGUCUGAUGUGAAAGCCUUCGGCUUAACUGGAGAAGUGCAUCGGAAACUGGAUAACUUGAGUGCAGAAGAGGGUAGUGGAACUCCAUGUGUAGCGGUGGAAUGCGUAGAUAUAUGGAAGAACACCAGUGGCGAAGGCGGCUACCUGGUCUGCAACUGACGCUGAGACUCGAAAGCAUGGGUAGCGAACAGGAUUAGAUACCCUGGUAGGAUAGCG
rnacentral:rRNA from 1 species